rnacentral:rRNA from 1 species
GACGAACGCUGGCGGCGUGCCUAAUACAUGCAAGUCGAACGCAGUUGCGAACGGGUGAGUAACGCGUAGGUAACUGCCUAUUAGAGGGGGAUAAAUAUUGGAAACGCUAGCUAAUACCGCAUACUAGUAGAUGGACCUGCUUUGUAUUAGGUAGUAGGUAGGGGAAUGGGCUACCUAGGCGAAGGUACAUAGCCGACCCUGGGGGGGGAUCCGCCCAACUGGGACUGAGGAACGGCCCAGAAUCCCACGGGAAGGAGCAGUUGGGAAACUUCGGGAAUGGGGGGAACGCUGACCGGGGAAAGGCGCGGGGAGGGAGAAGGGUUUCCGGUCGUAAAGCUCUGUUGGUAAGGGAGCGGUACUUAACCAGAAAGGGACGGCUAACUACGUGCCAGCAGCCGCGGUAAUAC